rnacentral:rRNA from 1 species
AUUGAACGCUGGCGGCAUGCCUUACACAUGCAAGUCGAACGGCAGCACGGGUGCUUGCACCUGGUGGCGAGUGGCGAACGGGUGAGUAAUACAUCGGAACAUGUCCUGUAGUGGGGGAUAGCCCGGCGAAAGCCGGAUUAAUACCGCAUACGAUCUACGGAUGAAAGCGGGGGACCUUCGGGCCUCGCGCUAUAGGGUUGGCCGAUGGCUGAUUAGCUAGUUGGUGGGGUAAAGGCCUACCAAGGCGACGAUCAGUAGCUGGUCUGAGAGGACGACCAGCCACACUGGGCCUGAGACACGGCCCAGACUCCUACGGGAGGCAGCAGUGGGGAAUUUUGGACAAUGGGCGAAAGCCUGAUCCAGCAAUGCCGCGUGUGUGAAGAAGGCCUUCGGGUUGUAAAGCACUUUUGUCCGGAAAGAAAUCCUUGGCUCUAAUACAGUCGGGGGAUGACGGUACCGGAAGAAUAAGCACCGGCUAACUACGU